rnacentral:rRNA from 1 species
AUGUAUUGUCUUUCGAAGCGCAGGAAAAAACACAAAAAAAUUCUAGUUUAUUUUACUGCCUUUUGUAGUAAAAGAAAAUUAAAAUCACAAAAAAUGUUUGUUUCUCUGCCUUUUGUACUAAUGGAGAGGGAAAGUCACAAAAAAAUGUUUGUUUUUAGGGUCGAGCAGUCAGUUGGUUUGUUGCUCACUCAGAAAUGUUUUUGGUUUUGGGGGGUUCGAUGUGUACAUUGUGCAUCAGCAUACACUGCUAGCUGCCCGUGGAGAUCAGCACUAAAGAAUAAACAAAUCCUGGUAAUUCUUUCAUCUAGGAUGCUUAUGCCGUCUCGAAACUGUCAACCUGACUCAUAG